AUGGACCCACAACUACAACAGAGGCAGCAACAACAACAACUACAACUACAACUGAGGGAACAACAACUACAACAGAGGCAGCAACAACAACAACUGAAGCAACAACAACUACAACUGAUGGACCCACAACUACAACAGAGGCAGCAACAACAACAGCUGAAGCAACAACAACUACAACUGAGGGAAACAACAACUACAACAGAGGCAGCAACAACAACAACUACAACUGAUGGACCCACAACUACAACAGAGGCAGCAACAACAACAGCUGAAGCAACAACAACUACAACUGAGGAAACAACAACUACAACAGAGGCAGCAACAACAACAGCAGAAACAACUACAACUGAGGGAACAACAACAAGUACAACUGAUGAACCCACAACUACAACAGAGGCAGCAACAACAACAACUGAAGCAACAACAACUACAACUGAUGGACCCACAACUACAACAGAGGCUGCAACAACAACUACAACUGAUGGACCCACAACUACAACAGAGGCUGCAACAACAACAACUGAAGCAACAACAACCACAACUGAUGGACCCACAACUACAACAGAGGCUGCAACAACAACAACUACAACUGAGGAACCCACAACAACAACAGAGUCAGCAACAACAACAGCUGAAGAAGCAACAACUACAACUGAGGAACCCACAACAACAACAGAGUCAGCAACAACAACAGCUGAAGCAACAACAACUACAACUGAGGAAACAACAACAACAACAGAGGCAGCAACAACAACAGCUGAAGCAACAACAACUACAACUGAGGGAGCAACAACAACAACUACAACUGAUGGACCCACAACUACAACAGAGGCAGCAACAACAACAGCUGAAGCAACAACAACUACAACUGAUGGACCCACAACUACAACAGAGGCUGCAACAACAACAGCUGAAGCAACAACAACUACAACUGAGGAAACAACAACUACAACAGAGGCAGCAACAACAACAACUGAAGCAACAACAACAACAACAGCAGAAGCAACAACAACUACAACAGAGGCAGCAACAACAACAACAACUGAAGUAACAACAACAAAUGAAGCAACAACAAGUACAACAGAGGCAGCAACAACAACAACACCUGAAACAACUACAACAACAAGUGAAACAUCAACAAUUACAAUGGAGUUACCAACAACUACAACUGAGGGAACAACAACAACAACAACCGAGGUACCAACAACAACAACUCAGCCAUCAACAACAACACCUGAAACAACUACAACAACAAGUGAAACAUCAACAAUUACAACAGAGUUACCAACAACUACAACUGAGGGAACAACCACAACUCAGCCAUCAACAACAACACCUGAAACAACCACAACAACAAGUGAAACAUCAACAAUUACAACAGAGUUACCAACAACUACAACUGAGGGAACAACAUCAACGGAGGUACCAACAACAACAAAUCAGCCAUCAACAACAACACCUGGAACACCCACAACAACAAGUGAAACAUCAACAAGUACAACAGAAUUAACAACAACAACAGCUGAGGAAACAUCCACAAAUCAGCCAUCAACAACAACACCUGAAUCAGCCACAACAACAAGUGAAACAUCAACAAUUACAACAGAGUUACCAACAACUACAACUGAGGGAACAACAACAACUCAGCCAUCAACAACAGCAUCUCCAACAACAACAACAAAUCAGCCAUCAACAACAACACCUGAAACAACCACAACAACAAGUGAAACAUCAACAAUUACAACAGAGUUAACAACAACUACAACUGAGGGAACAACAACAACAACUCAGCCAUCAACAACAACACCUGAAACACCCACAAGUGAAACAUCAACAAUUACAACAGAGUUACCAACAACUACAACUGAGGGAACAACAACAACAACAACCGAGGAACCAACAACAACAACAACACCUGAAACAACUACAACAACAAGUGAAACAUCAACAAUUACAACGGAGUUACCAACAACUACAACUGAGGGAACAACAACAACAACAACCGAGGUACCAACAACAACAACUCAGCCAUCAACAACAACACCUGAAACAACUACAACAACAAGUGAAACAUCAACAAUUACAACGGAGUUACCAACAACUACAACUGAGGGAACAACAACAACCGAGGUACCAACAACAACAACUCAGCCAUCAACAACAACACCUGAAACAACUACAACAACAAGUGAAACAUCAACAAUUACAAACGAGUUAACAACAACUACAACUGAGGGAACAACCACAACUCAGCCAUCAACAACAACAACUACUCAACUAUCAACAACAACACCUGAAUCAACCACAACAACAAGUGAAACAUCAGCAAUUACAACAGAGUUACCAACAACUACAACUGAGGGAACAACCACAACAACAACCGAGGUACCAACAACAACAACUCAGCCAUCAACAACAACACCUGAAACAACUACAACAACAAGUGAAACAUCAACAAUUACAACAGAGUUACCAACAACUACAACUGAGGGAACAACAACAACAACAGAGGUACCAACAACAACAACUCAGCCAUCAACAACAACACCUGGAACACCCACAACAACAAGUGAAACAUCAACAAGUACAACAGAGUUACCAACAACUACAACUGAGGGAACAACAUCAACGGAGGUACCAACAACAACAACUCAGCCAUCAACAACAACACCUGAAACAACAACAAGUGAAACAUCAACAAGUACAACAGAGUUACCAACAACUACAACUGAGGGAACAACAUCAACGGAGGUACCAACAACAACAAAUCAGCCAUCAACAACAACACCUGAAACAACCACAACAACAAGUGAAACAUCAACAAUUACAACAGAGUUACCAACAACCGCAACUGAGGGAACAACAACAACAACUCAGCCAUCAACAACAACACCUGAAAUAACAACAACAACUCAGCCAUCAGCAACAACACCUGAAACACCCACAACAAGUGAAACAUCAACAAUUACAACAGAUUUACCAACAACUACAACUGAGGGAACAACCACAACCGAGGUACCAACAACAACAACUCAGCCAUCAACAACAACACCUGAAACAACUACAACAACAAGUGAAACAUCAACAAUUACAACGGAGUUACCAACAACUACAACUGAGGGAACAACAACAACCGAGGUACCAACAACAACAACUCAGCCAUCAACAACAACACCUGAAACAACUACAACAACAAGUGAAACAUCAACAAUUACAACAGAGUUAACAACAACUACAACUGAGGGAACAACCACAACUCAGCCAUCAACAACAACACUUGAAUCAACCACAACAACAAGUGAAACAUCAACAAUUACAACAGAGUUACCAACAACUACAACUGAGGGAACAACAACAACAACAGAGGUACCAACAACAACAACUCAGCCAUCAACAACAACACCUGAAACACCCACAAAUCAGCCAUCAACAACAACACCUGAAACACCCACAAGUCAGCCAUCAACAACAACACCUGAAUCAGCCACAACAACAAGUGAAACAUCAACAAUUACAACAGAGUUACCAACAACUACAACUGAGGGAACAACCACAACUCAGCCAUCAACAACAGCACCUCCAACAACAACAACAAAUCAGCCAUCAACAACAACACCUGAAACAACCACAACAACAAGUGAAACAUCAACAAUUACAACAGAGUUACCAACAACUACAACUGAGGGAACAACAUCAACGGAGGUACCAACAACAACAACUCAGCCAUCAACAACAACACCUGAAUCAACCACAACAACAAGUGAAACAUCAACAAUUACAACAGAGUUAACAACAACUACAACUGAGGGAACAACCACAACUCAGCCAUCAACAACAAUAACAAAUCAGCCAUCAACAACAACACCCGAAUCAACCACAACAACAAGUGAAACAUCAACAAUUACAACUGAGUUACCAACAACUACAACUCAGCCAUCAACAACAACACCUGAAAUACCCACAAUAGCAAUAGAGUUACCAACAAUUACAACUGAGAGAACAACAACAUCUCAGCCAUCAGCAACAACACCUGAAACAACCACAACAACAAGUGAAACAUCAACAAUUACAACGGAGUUACCAACAACUACAAUUGAGGGAACAACAUCAACGGAGGUACCAACAACAACAACUCAGCCAUCAACAACAACACCUGAAACAACCACAACAAGUAAAACAUCAACAAUUACAACAGAGUUACCAACAACUACAACUGAGGGAACAACAACAACAGACGUAGCAACAACAACAACUCAGCCAUCAUCAACAACACCUAUAACAACAACAACUCAGCCAUCAACAACAACACCUGCAACAACCACAACAAGUAAAACAUCAACAAUUACAACAGAGUUACCAACAACUACAACUGAGGGAACGACAACAACAGAGGUAGCAACAACAACAACUCAGCCAUCAUCAACAACACCUAUAACAACAACAACUCAGCCAUCAACAACAACACCUGCAUCAACAACAACAACUCAGUCAUCAACAACAACACCUGAAACAACCACAACAACAAGUAAAACAUCAACCACUGGAGCAAAUUCAACUAAUGCACCAACAACCGCAACAACAACAGCAUCAUCUACAAAAGAGACCCCCACAUUACAAACUACAACUAAAGCCCCCACAACUCUGAUAGAGACAUCCACAACAAUAACAACGACAACAACAUCUGCUCUGACAACAGCUACUACAAGAAAUACAACGUCUCCAUCAACAACUACAUCAACAACUGCAUCAACAACAGUUGCUGUACCUGUUUAUAAUGUGGAAGCAACACUGAUAAAUGAACCAUUUACAGAAGAUCUUAGGAACCGCAGCAGCACGAAAUUCAAGGAUCUUGAAACAAGAGUUGUUGAGGCGUGUGAAAUAAUAUACAGAGGAAAAUUUCCUAAACAGUUUGACCACUGCUAUGUUAUAGACUUCAGGUAAAAACACUUUACUAACAAUAGUUUAUACUUGAAUUUGAAUUAAAUGUUUUCAUAUUCUGGAUUUUAUGUUUAAAUGUUGAUAUUGUGGUAAUUUUACUUUUUUUAUGUGUGUCCUUGUGUUUCUUUUUGAUACAGCGCUACGCAGAGUGUAAAGCGAGCGAACGAAACUCAAGCAGAGUUGGGAGUUGUGUUCAAGGCAUCUACUCCCUUUUCCGAACUCCCACAGAACGCUGUCGUUGCUCAAGCUUUAAUAGAAGCUGCAAACAGUUCCAACAGUAACUUUAACGUGACCCUAAACCCCAACACAAUCACAGUAAUAG
rnacentral:lncRNA from 1 species